rnacentral:misc_RNA from 1 species
GAUAAGAACGUAGCGAAAUGCGAUAAGUAAUGCGAAUUGCAGAAUUUCCGUGAGUCAUCGAAUCUUUGAACGCACAUUGCGCCCACUGGUAUUCCGGUGGGCAUGCCUGUUCGAGCGUCAUUAUCCUCCCUCAAACCCCGGGUUUGGUGUUGGACCCAAGUUGUGUGAACAACUGGUCUUAAAGACAAUGACGGCGUCCGUGGGACCCUCGGUGCAACGAGCUUUUAGGAGCACGCAUCGAGUUGCAAGGACCUUCCGGGCCGGUCUCCUUUACUAUUUUACAAGGUUGACCUCGGAUCAGGUAGGAAUACCCGCUGAACUUAAGCAUAUCAAUAAGCGGAGGA